UUAAACAUGAGAACAGGAAGCAGAAGUAAGCCAUUCGGCCCCUCGAGCCUGCUCCGACCCUUACUGACCGAGACUGAUCUGACGACACAGAUCUGCUCGCUCAACACAGAUUAAAGUCAUUUAUCUAGAAAGAGCGGGAUGAGUGAAGAAAGAAAAUAUUGGGAAUGCAAUGGACUUGAAUCACCCAAGACAGCACUUUGGAUAUUUAGAUGAAUAUGGCAUAAAACCAGUAAUUCCUAAGCCAAGCAAACAACGAAAGAAAGCACCAUCCUUAUUCCUCAGGAAUGCUGGACGUAGCAAGAGGGAUGACCCAGACAUUGAUAUCUUUUAUGAUUAUUUUGCAUAACAAUUAGCAAAAUAUUUAAUUUUAUAGCUUUUUAAUAGAACACAAAAUUUGAGAAUUCUACAGCCAGGAACUUAAAAUGAGACUACUUUUUAGAAAGACAUGAGAGCAUGUUAUUGAGUUUUACUUGUUAACUAGAAAUCAACUUUCAAAUCUAGUUUUCUUUUGUUUCCCCAUUCUUGAGGAAUCCUGAUUCUAUGAGGGUUCAAUUCCAAAAUAGAAAAGUCACUACUUACGUCUCAUCUCAAAUAUCAUACUGUGAGUGUGCCAAGAAGAAAAAAAAUAUUUUGGCAGGACAUUUGACCAUGGAGUGCAUUACAGCCACGACCAACCUGUCUUCGCACUCCUGUUCCAGCAUUCGACAUUGGAUGAUAAUUAAAAUCAGAAAGCCUUCCCUUACAUCCUUCCAGAGACUAAUCUGCUGUUUCUCAAUAGUCCUGGAACUGAUGUUGGAGGUUUUCAUGUGUUCUGCAGAAAUACUGUUUAUCUACAGGCCCAUUGUGACAGUAAAUCUUAGAUUUAAAAUCCAUAACUUGUACAUUUUCAAGGUGGAGAUGGAAUCUGGAUUACACAUAUUAUCCCCAACAUUUUUCACAAAUUGUUAAAUUGCACAGUCAAUAUACACUCCAAAAUGAAAAUGCUUGCAACAUCAAGUUCCAGUCGGGAUAACAAGUAUUGAUUCCUGAUUAGAUUAGGGAUUGCUAAAUGCCACCAGACACAACAUUAGCCAUGCCACUUUCAUGUUAACUGAAGCAAAAAAAAUCACCGUAACGAGAUGAUCUUAAUUGUCACCCACUGCUUCAGCACAGAUGACCAUCUUUGUAAACCCUAGGAGAUUGAUCGUGAUCAACAUUCUGAGGGGAGUCUGCAGGCAUGCGUGCCUUCAGAACAGAAAGCAUUUGUUUCAACAAUCUAUUAAUUACAUUGCAGACUUGUCACUUGAAGAACUGUUAAUAUUGCAUCAAGCUGAUAAUGUUCAAGUUUCCCAUGUCACAAAACCUCAAUUUGAGCACCGAUUUAUAAAAUCCAUAGCAUGAUAACCUGUUGAAUUUAUGCUCUAAUCUGAAAACUACUGACGCUACCAAAUGCCUACUGUCAUUCUUAAACUUGACAUGUUGUGUUAAACAAAACAACCAAUAUCUGAUCUGGGUGAUGUGAUAAUUGGACAUUAAAAUUCAGCAAAUAAACAUUGGCAGGAAUUAAGUUGAGAACCAAGUCCUCCUGGACUUUGUACAACAGUGCAAGAAAGUAGGUAUUAGUUCUGCAUCAGUAUCCUGUUUGCUCAGAGAUAUUUUUAGAUGAUCAAAGAGAUAAAUGGAUUCUUCAAAUGAAAUCAGAGCAAUUCAAAUUCAACAGCACAUCUAAAUAAAUUAC